rnacentral:rRNA from 1 species
UACAGAGGAGCCAAGCGUUGUCCGGAUUGACUGGGCGUAAAGCGCACGCAGGCGGCACCGCGCGUGGGGUGUGAAAUCUGGCCGCUUAACGGCCAGGCGCCAUCCCAUACGGCGGAGCUGGAGUGAUGCAGAGGUCGGUGGAAUUGCCGGUGUAGUGGUGAAAUGCGUAGAGAUCGGCAGGAACACCCAGGGGGAAACCAGUGGACUGGGCAUGUGCUGACGCUCAGGUGCGAAAGCGUGGGGAGCGAACCGG